rnacentral:lncRNA from 1 species
UAUACUUAAGCUAUUGUACUACACUUUAAGUAACUUGUACUGCAAGGCAUUGCUUUUCUUCAUACUUUGUUUCUUCAGAUUUUGUAUUAUGUAAUAGCCCCCCACAAGAUGGAGGUUGAUAAAUGUCUAGCAACCCCAACUUGGAAAGUAAAAUGUUAAAAGGCUGUGGAAACAGAGACUUUGUAAAAAAAUCUGCAAGUUGAUCAUGUGUUGUAACUGGCAGAAGCUUGAACAAUCCAGCUUGAAGUUUCUCCCUUACAAUGUGGCAAUCUAUUUCAAGAUGUUUUGUACGCUCAUGAAAGACAGGAUUAGCUGCAAUAUGCAUGGCGCUUUGAUUGUCACAAUAUAGGACAGGAAGCUUAACACAAUCAAUGUGGAGAUCUCUCAACAAGUAUAAAAGUCACUGAAGUUCACAGGUUGCUGAUGCCAUCGCUCUAUACUCAGCUUCUGAAGAAGAUUUAGAUACAGUAGGCUGCUUUUUGGUUCUCCAAGAUAUGAGGGAUUGUCCUAAAAAGAAACAAUGGCCUGAAAUGGAACGCCUAGUAUCCUUACACCCUGCCCAAUCAGCAUCUGUGUAACCUUGAAUAUGUAAUCCUGAAGCUCUAGGAAAAAAAAUGCCACGACCUGGAGAGCCUUUAAGAUAUUUAAGAACUCUUAGAGCAGCAUUGUAAUGAGUGUGGGUUGGUUUACUCAAAAAUUGACUGAGCUGUUGAGUUAUGAAUGUAAUGUCAGGCCUAGUUGUGUUGAGAUAGAUCAAUCUCCCAA